rnacentral:rRNA from 1 species
CAGUCGAGCGGAACGAUGAUAGCUUGCUAUCAGGCGUCGAGCGGCGGACGGGUGAGUAAUACUUAGGAAUCUACCUAGUAGUGGGGGAUAGCACGGGGAAACUCGUAUUAAUACCGCAUACGACCUACGGGAGAAAGGGGGCAGUUUACUGCUCUCGCUAUUAGAUGAGCCUAAGUCGGAUUAGCUAGAUGGUGGGGUAAAGGCCUACCAUGGCGACGAUCUGUAGCUGGUCUGAGAGGAUGAUCAGCCACACCGGGACUGAGACACGGCCCGGACUCCUACGGGAGGCAGCAGUGGGGAAUAUUGGACAAUGGGGGAAACCCUGAUCCAGCCAUGCCGCGUGUGUGAAGAAGGCCUUUUGGUUGUAAAGCACUUUAAGCAGUGAAGAAGACUCCGUGGUUAAUACCCACGGACGAUGACAUUAGCUGCAGAAUAAGCACCGGCUAACUCUGUGCCAGCAGCCGCGGUAAUACAGAGGGUGCAAGCGUUAAUCGGAAUUACUGGGCGUAAAGGGAGCGUAGGUGGCUCUAUAAGUCAGAUGUGAAAUCCCCGGGCUCAACCUGGGAACUGCAUCUGAAACUGUAGAGCUAGAGUAUGUGAGAGGAAGGUAGAAUUCCAGGUGUAGCGGUGAAAUGCGUAGAGAUCUGGAGGAAUACCGAUGGCGAAGGCAGCCUUCUGGCAUAAUACUGACACUGAGGCUCGAAAGCGUGGGUAGCAAACAGGAUUAGAUACCCUGGUAGUCCACGCCGUAAACGAUGUCUACUAGUCGUUGGGUCCCUUGAGGACUUAGUGACGCAGCUAACGCAAUAAGUAGACCGCCUGGGGAGUACGGCCGCAAGGUUAAAACUCAAAUGAAUUGACGGGGGCCCGCACAAGCGGUGGAGCAUGUGGUUUAAUUCGAUGCAACGCGAAGAACCUUACCUGGUCUUGACAUAUCUAGAAUCCUGCAGAGAUGCGGGAGUGCCUUCGGGAAUUAGAAUACAGGUGCUGCAUGGCUGUCGUCAGCUCGUGUCGUGAGAUGUUGGGGUUAAGUCCCGCAACGAGCGCAACCCUUGUCCUUAGUUACCAGCGGGUUAAGCCGGGAACUCUAAGGAUACUGCCAGUGACAAACUGGAGGAAGGCGGGGACGACUUCAAGUCAUCAAGGCCCUUACAACCAGG